AGCUAUGUAGGUAUAUUAUAACUUACACGUAUAUCUAGGCGAAAGUAAGCCUAUAAUAUCUUAGUAGUUAAAGUAAGCUGUGCAUCAAUUUCUAGGAAAUCGUAGCCAUUUUUUUUAUUCGAAAGGAACUACAUUUAUGUUGUUGUCAUUACCAGAAACAAAUCCUACCAAAGAGUAAAAAACCGGCGUUAAAUCAGCUGUCAUCGUCAUGGCGAAAUUUCAACCUUUGACAUCCAGUAUAAUAUUUCGACCUGGUUAUCUGUUUUAAAAAAUGGUGUAACAGAGUGUGGGCAGUGCAUAUUUAUUAUUAUUAUUUUGUUAAUGGCUUAAAUGAAGUCAAAAUCAACAUGUACAGACAGGUGUUAAAAUCAGAGUCUAAAUAAUUGUGAUCAAGGUUGGAUAAUUCGGUGUAUAUCGCGCUGAAGUUGUAUUGUUAAAGUUAACAUAUAUAUAGUAGAAUAGACUGUUAUGCGUGCAGCUAAGCUCUUUUAUGGAGUCCAUUAUUUUUUCAAAGGUUCGGACUGGGAAAGGUUUAUGACAUGAAACUUUUGCUAUUUCUGCUCAUUCUAAUUACAUUUAUUAAAGUGUGUUGCCCAAAUAACUGUAAUUGUGAAUAUCUGAGAAAAAGGGUUGACGACUUCAUUGAGGGGAUGGAGAAAUACAUAAAUCGAACGAAUGAAGAGACAAAAAAAAUGCAAGAAAGAAUUAAAGGACUUGAAAAACAAAUCAAGAGAAAAAAAUGGAUCUAUGAAGUGUGCUUACAUGAUAGUAAAACAAGAUGUCCAAAGGGGUUUGUUGGCAUCGGGCACAGUUGUUACAAAUUUGUUACACACAGAAAUAAAUCACGGGAGGAUGCAGUCAGAUAUUGUAAAAGAAAAUGUGACUCUCAUCUGCUCGUUAUAAACCAAGAAAGAGAAGGAAAUAGGUUGUUUGACUAUCUGAUCAACGACUUUAAGCAACCACAUAUCACAGAAUUCCUCACAUCAGGAAUGAUAAAGAAUCAGCCGAUAUCAUCAGAUAUUACACAAGCGCCGUGGGUAUGGAAGAUUCAUACCAAGAGAACAAAACCUAUCCAUAGGGAGGUUAUUCAUAUAGUUCCGAAAACGGACGUAUCACCAAUAAUCAACAAUAACUUGAAAAAUUGUUUGAUACUGAAGUGGAACAGUACAAAAUUGUUUUUAGAAAAUGAUCACUGUAAAAUUGAAAGACCGUUCAUAUGUGAAUUACGCAGAAAGGGGCAUGUUAACGAUCCGGAGUGAUUCUAUUUUGUGUUUCUGAUUUUAUCAAAAUGGGCAUGUGGCAUACUAACAUACAUACAGUAACAAGGGUAUGUUGCGUUGCAAUUUCUGUCGCGUGUUCGCAUUUUGUGGCAUGUGUGUGCGAAGACCUUUCUUUUGAAAUUCUACCCUGUUUUUGGAAUGAGCCCGUUGCUAAAAACGAGUGUUAGCCAGAGCUUUGGGCUCUUUUUUUUUCAAGUAUUUUAAGUUUAAGAAAUGCUCACUCUAGUAUAUGGGUCUAUGUACUUACUGAUGUAGUACAUUGAUAAAUUGUAUAGGUCACGAAAUCUGCAAAUUGUUGUCUUAGUAAAACAUAGUAAAAAUAUUACUCUCGCUCUCUAUAUUUUAUUUACUAACAUAUUUUAUAUGGCGUGUCCAAAUUUAUAUGAAUUUCAAGAUUUAACUUUUGUGUUUUUCGUGUAUAUAUAUUAUUAUAUGCCCUUUACACUAGUAGAUAAAUCGUUUCCAGUUUUGGUAUAGUGAAUUUUGUUUUUGUCAAAAUAAGCAUAAUAUCUUAAUUUUGUUUAAUUGUUUUGGCUAAUCACAAUGCAACUUUGCUAUAGUUUUUAUGCGUCUCUGCAUCAACCAACCCACAAGGAUAAUUAUCGAAUGUAACACUUUACGUGGACUUUAAAAGUUUAAUGUUAUGCGUAGUUUGAAAUCAUGGUCGUAUAGUCAACGAAAGCUUGUAUAAAAAAUGAGCAUAAUUCUUUUUAGCUCGAAUAGGAAUUUAGCUAUUUCAAUAUAAACGAUACCAUCUUCACGUUUGUGAAUUCAUGUUGAUCAUAAUAUAUGUAAAUAAUAUUUCUUUUUUUUUGAUACUGUGAUAAAUUAUGUCAGUUUCUGUGAUAUAUAAAUAAAUCAGUUAUAUUUAUAAGGGUUGUUUCGAGCAACACAUGAGUAUUUUGUUAGAUCCGUUUUCAUAAUACAGUGAUUUAAUGCCUAUUGUUAAUGUUUGUGUAUAAAGUUGCUUUAGAUAAUUUCUUGAUAUCAAAUACUGUCACAUUUCUUACACCUUAAAAAUACAUUAUGUAAGAUUUAGUUAAAAAGCUAGCCGUUCUUGCUAUAAUAGUUCGAUAAUGCAAAAUGAAUAUAUUGAAAAUUUCAUUCAAAUUACCCUACUUCUAGUGAAGAUAUUAGCCGUUGAAGGUUUGACAAGAUGUGUGCAUUAACUGCAACCACCGUAUACUGGUUGUUCGAAGUCGAGCCUCGCUUCUCUGUUUUUAAAUUAAAUCAAAAUAUGGCUGAACCGUUCUAAUCUACUUAAUAUCGGAGAUAUCCGAUGGCAUGGAGAGUCGAUUGUGGUCGUUUCAUGUUAUUAAAUAUCUAAUUAAUAGUUUAUAUAACAUUUCAGGCCUAAAGAAAGACCUGCAUUAGGCAGAUUUAGCUCUUGCAUAAUGUAUGUUUAAUAUACUUUACAUAACUUAAAGCUGCAUUAUGCAAGAGCUAAAUCUGCCUGUUGCAGGUCUUUCUUUGGGGCUGAUUCACAUGACAAGCCCAUAAUCAACUCUCUAGAUCUUCGAAUGGUUGUGAUUUUGAAUGGAUUUAAACACGAUCGCCAUUUAGUUAUUUAAUUUAAAAGUGGAUAAUCGAGACUUGGUUUAUUAUCGUAACAACUACGGUACUAUAAUAAAUUAGAUUAGGAUAGUUUUAGAAAUAUGUUACUAUUUACAAAAAAAAAUCAUAAGUAUUGAGAAGACAAUAGCUUAUUUACAAUCUAUUUACAAAGGUAUCAAGUGGAACAAUAAACAUAGGAUACAUCUGGAUACUUCCCAAAGAGGUGAAUGUCUAUCGGAGUUGUGUAGAAACUCUGGCUUAUUUAAAAUGUAUUUCCAGGGUUAUCAUCAAGAUGAACAAUAAAUAUAAGAUACGUGUUGACAUUUGUUUUCGAAAGAAGUGAUUGUUUAAUUGUGAAGAGACAGUAGCUUAAUUACAAUGUAAUUACAGGGUUAUCAUGUUGAAUAAAUACUAGACAGAUACACAUUGACAUAAGAUAA